GCAGGUUUAGUGAAAACUCUGAGUUUGUUAACCCUGAAAUGAGGGAAACUCAGAGUUUUCCGUUUCACAAAGGGAGGUAACUGAAACCAGAGACAGAGGGGUAACUCUAGCCUGUUUCACAAAGAGAGGUAACUGAAGCUCUCAGUCAGUUACCAUAGUAACAGACUCUAUGAAUCUAACCUGGUCAGGACCAGGUUUUUCUCAGUAAACCUCGAGUCUCUCAGUCUCCGCCUUCUUUCAGUCACACACUAUUUCAUUUCCUCAUUCAUUCAGUCAUCAGUUGAGUUUUGGCGAAGUCUAGUUCUGCCGUGUGUCAAAAUGACGUCCUUUUAUGAACGAUCCAGUGGAUGAAGGAGCAGAAUUACUGCACAGAGAAUUAAAUAUUCGUCAGGAGAUUGUUAUCAGACCGUGCAUAGAUGUUCUCACAUUUCUGGACAGUUAUCUUUUACAGCGGUACUGUUUCACGUCACAGUCCAUAAUCUACAUCCAACCUCAUCCAUCCUUACAUUUACAACAUGACCAACCACAGUCAUGCUCUCACAUCCCAGCAGAUAUUGUGUGUUGUGCUGCGGUUCUUUGCAAAUGGGAGUUUUUUAUAUAAUGUCAGAGAUGCAGAGCACUUCAGUAAGACAACUGUAUGCAGGACGGUCAGAAAAGUGUGUCUGGAUCUGAAACGACUUUUACCAUCUUUGUGGUUUUCCCUGGACAUAAACCUGUCAGAGUCAUCAAGGAGGAGUUCCACAGGAUUGCAGGUGAAUGAUGUAGAGAUCUGUUAAAUUAAUUUUAAAUCAUAUCCAGUUAAUGACAUUGUGCUGCAACCUCAGACUGGGAUUAGUAACUUUAAUUUCUUUUAGGAUUUCUCAGUGUGAUUAGCUGCAUAGAUGGCACACACAUCCCCAUCACAGCUCCCUCACAUAAUGAAGCUGAUUAUGUGAACAGGAAGUCCAUUCACAGUAUAAAUGUGCAGAUCAUAUGUGAUGCUGCAUACAUCAUUUCUAAUGUGGAGGCCAAGUGGUCUGGAUCUGUUCAUGACUGGAGGAUUUAUCAUGAGUCUAACCUGAGCAACAGACUGCAACGUGGAGAGUUUGAUGGUCUUCUGCUGGGUGACAGGGGUUACCAUGCCAACCCAGGCUGAUGACCUCAUACCCUGACCCUGAACCAGGCCCCCAACAGAACUUCAACCAGGUUCACUGCAGGAUGAGAGCCUGGGUGGAGAUGACCAUAGACCUGCUGAAAGCCUGUUUCCAGUGUCUACAUCACCUCAGGGUGACUCCUGAGAGGCCUGUGAUAUUAUUGUGGCGUGUGUUGUUCUUCAUAAUAUUACCACUAUUAGAGGAGAGCAACACUCUGCCCUACAAACUGAAGACCCAGAUGAUGACCUCAUCCACCUGCCAGCUAUCCAGGACAGCAGAGCAGUCAGAGACACCAUAUGCAAUAAUCACUGCAGAGUUUAAGUCUCCAUCAUCACCACCACAGCAGUCAAAUAAACACAUGACAUACAUUUCA